ensembl:lncRNA
UGAUAGCAGGGUAAGACCUAGCUGGCAUAGGGAGCGGGUUCAACCAUUGUGGUUCUGGCGGAGCUGAAAACAGCAUCGGUCCGGUCCGGGACCCAACGGUCUGCUGCUGCCCAGCCGACAUAGCCGACCAAUAGGAGGCCAGAAAGCCUGGAGGAGAUUUUUCUUUAAUGGAUGAGGGAAGGGACCGUUCUCUCCAGAGGAGUUGCUUGGAUGGACAAGACAGAGACAUAAAGGUGAUUGGAGGGAUUAGAGAAAGAGAUCUUCUGAUUAGAGAAAGAGAUUCUGACCUCCCGCCUUCAGUAACAAGGAUUCAUCCUGUUGUUGUAUUCUGAACUAGCAGGGAAUCUCUGUUACUGGGGGUGAGGGUACAGAGAGCUCACACAAACACAUUCCGUCACACACACGAAGACGCACACCCAGACACACGUUUGUUAUUUUACUGCUUACACUUCUCCUGUACUGUGCUAUGUAUGUACUGUAUCUAAUUUGAUUAAAGAUGUGAGAAGAUGUUCUUGACUUCUGGGGUCUGUAUUACUAACUAGACUAUGACUGUGUGAGGAAUUGCUUGACUCAGUGUAUAGGUUUUUCAGGGAGUCAGUAUUGACUCAGUGUAGAGGUUUUGAAGGGAGACAGUACUGACUCAGUGUAUAGGUUUUUCAGGGAGUCAGUAUUGACUCAGUGCAGAGGUUUUGAAGGGAGACCGUAUUGACUCAGUGUAGAGGUUUUGAAGGGAGACAGUACUGACUCAGUGUUAAGGUUUUGAAGGGAGACAGUACUGACUCUGUGUAGAGGUUUUUCGGGGAGUCAGUAUUGACUCAGUGUGGAGGUUUUUCAGGGAGUCCGUAUUGACUUAGUGUAGAGGUUUCAGUGUAGAGGUUUUGCGGGGAGACAGUAUUGACUCAGUGUAGAGGUUUUUCAGGGAGACGGUAUUGACUCAGUGUAGAGGUUUUUCAGGGAGUCAGUAUUGACUCAGUGUAGAGGUUUUUCAGGGAGACGGUAUUGACUCUGUGUAGAGGCUUUUCGGGGAGUUAGUAUUGACUCAGUGUAGAGGUUUUUCGGGGAGUCAGUAUUGACUCAGUGUAGAGGUUUUUCAGGGAGACGGUAUUGACUCUGUGUAGAGGCUUUUCAGGGAGUCAGUAUUGACUCGGUGUAGAGGUUUUUCGGGGAGUCAGUAUUGACUCAGUGUAGAGGUUUUUCAGGGAGUCAGUAUUGACUCAGUGUAGAGGUUUUUCAGGGAGACAGUAUUGACUCAGUGAAGAUGUUUUGCAGGGACAGUAUUGCAAUUUUCCUGUAUGUGUUUUUACAUUUCCC